rnacentral:rRNA from 1 species
GGCGAACGCUGGCGGCAUGCUUAACACAUGCAAGUCGCACGGGCGGGGGCAACUCCGUCAGUGGCGGACGGGUGAGUAACGCGUAGGAAUCUAUCCUUGAAUGGGGGGACAACCGUGGGAAACUACGGCUAAUACCGCAUGAUACCUGAGGGUCAAAGGCGCAAGCCGCCUUAGGAGGAGCCUGCGUCUGAUUAGCUUGUUGGUGGGGUAAAGGCCUACCAAGGCGACGAUCAGUAGCUGGUCUGAGAGGAUGAUCAGCCACAUUGGGACUGAGACACGGCCCAAACUCCUACGGGAGGCAGCAGUGGGGAAUAUUGGACAAUGGGCGAAAGCCUGAUCCAGCAAUGCCGCGUGUGUGAAGAAGGUCUUCGGAUUGUAAAGCCCUUUUGGCGGGGACGAUGAUGACGGUACCCGCAGAAUAAGCUCCGGCUAACUUCGUG